GUAAAAUUUAACAAAAAAAUAAAAAAAAUGAGGAGGUCAAACGAAAAUCAAAAACAAAAACAAAAAAUGAACUAAAUGUAUUAUUCAAACACUCAGCACUCACUCCCUCAUAGCCUUCUUUUCUGCUCUCUUCAGAAAAUUUCCUACUUUCUCUGAUUCGUUAACCAUGUCAGACGAGGCGCAUAACUUCGAGUCAAAGGCCGAUACCGAUGCCUCCAAAACUUUCCCUCAGCAGGCUGGUACCAUCCGUAAGAAUGGUUACAUUGUUAUCAAAGGACGCCAUUGAAAGGUUGUUGAAGUUUCAACCUCCAAGACUGGAAAGCAUGGUUAUGCUAAAUGUCACUUCGUUGCCAUUGGCAUCUUCACUGCAAAGAGGCUUGAGGAUAUCGUCCCUUCUUCCAACAAUUGCGAUGUUCCUCAUGUUAAUUACAUUGAUUAUCAGCUUAUAGACAUCUCUAAGGAUGGAUUUGUGACCUUGCUAAAUGAAAAUGGGAGCACUAAGGAUGAUUUAGGCUUCCAACUGAUGAAAAUCUAUUGAAGCAGAUCAAGGAUGGAUUUGUUGAGGGGAAAACUGAUAAAUUUAAUGAUGCUCAUUUCUAGAAGAAUCUAGAAAUACUUGCCUACAAUAUCCUAGAAUUCCUUGGUAAGCAAGUAUAAUAA
rnacentral:lncRNA from 1 species